AUGAACGCUGGCGGCGUGCUUCACACAUGCCAGUCGAACGAUGAAGCCCAGCUUGCUGGGUGGAUUAGUGGCGAACGGGUGAGUAACACGUGAGUAACCUGCCCUUAACUCUGGGAUAAGCCUGGGAAACUGGGUCUAAUACCGGAUAGGAGCGUCCACCGCAUGGUGGGUGUUGGAAAGAUUUAUCGGUUUUGGAUGGACUCGCGGCCUAUCAGCUUGUUGGUGAGGUAAUGGCUCACCAAGGCGACGACGGGUAGCCGGCCUGAGAGGGUGACCGGCCACACUGGGACUGAGACACGGCCCAGACUCCUACGGGAGGCAGCAGUGGGGAAUAUUGCACAAUGGGCGCAAGCCUGAUGCAGCGACGCCGCGUGAGGGAUGACGGCCUUCGGGUUGUAAACCUCUUUCAGUAGGGAAGAAGCGAAAGUGACGGUACCUGCAGAAGAAGCACCGGCUAACUACGUG
rnacentral:rRNA from 1 species